CACACACACACACACACACACACACACACACACACAGGCAUCUGUCACUAUGCCAACCAGCACUGUGGGUAACCCGAGGUAUCCAGACGAAUAAAAAGCCUGUACUGCAGCAGCUCCCAGAAACAAGCACUGGACUUAUCGCUAAGAUGGCAAAGUGGCGGUGAUGGUCCACACCGACACACAAACAGAUUCUCCAAGCUGCAAACAGGAAGGUGCUAGCAGCAAAGUUAAUUGGGAACUAGCAACAUGGAAUGAACUCCAGUGAGCAAAAUAUCUGCCAGCAAAGCAACUUCAUAAGAGGAACUCUGGCUCACUGUCAACAUCAUCUUGUAACUUACCGAUACACUCAUUUUAUGGUAGCGUAUCGUAUGAGCUUCCUCCCCUUUAAGGCUACCACACCUGUAUGCCAAACGUCUCGUGGCUCACAAACUACAAGUGGGUGGAGCAUCUUUGCUCACAGCCAGAGUUGUGUACCGGAAAUGAUCACAUUUAUGAAAAUCCACUCGCUGUGACGUCACACAUGUAUAAAGUGUGAAUCUGAGCGUUUAAAAACAGAGUUUCCAGCUGCUGUACGAACACCACCUCAAUAUUUGAAACUUGUUUAAUACGAGCAUGCGUCGCUGGAGCAGGAAAUACACAACAGGAAACAAAGGACUGAACAGCAUGUGUAUACAACAACUGUCCAAAAUAAAUAACACUGUGAAAGUAGAUCUUGCAGAUAAAUGUGAAAGAUAAAAUCACAUGGUCAAUGGCGAGCGAUGAUGAUGGUCAGUCACACACAGAGACGGACACAUCGUACACGCCUUUUGUAAAUCCUGUCGUAAUGUGAGAGGAAGAAGAAGAUUUUGCUCCGUUUUCUUCCUCCGUUAUACAAACACAGCCUCCACAGCCGGCGCGCUCUGCAAUGCUGCUGAACUUUGGCCUUGUAGAGACACAGUUUGUGUUGUAGCUACGAUAACUGCUGAGCUGGAGCUCUGCAAUCACAGAGGAAAGUAAUAAUUUUGAUUAGUCUGUUUGUUCCCAUUGUGGAACUGAUGCCUAAAUGCAACAAUCUGUCUUUAUAUGCUUUUCAAGACGAAGAAACCAGACACAGAAAUGGGCGAACAGAUUUGUUUGGAAGGACAAACUAAAAGAUGGGUGCUUGAAAUACAUAAUAAAAUGUUUACUGCCACUUUAAUUUCACUUAUAUCGGGAAAAAAUGUUAUUUGCUGUGUGAAACAUGUUCAAGUGUGCUGAAAAUGUGUUUAUACUUUUAUUUAUA